AUUGAACGCUGGCGGCAUGCCUUACACAUGCAAGUCGAACGGUAACAGGUCUUCGGAUGCUGACGAGUGGCGAACGGGUGAGUAAUACAUCGGAACGUGCCUAGUAGUGGGGGAUAACUACUCGAAAGAGUGGCUAAUACCGCAUGAGAUCUACGGAUGAAAGCAGGGGAUCGCAAGACCUUGUGCUACUAGAGCGGCCGAUGGCAGAUUAGGUAGCGGGUGGGAUAAAAGCUUACCAAGCCGACGAUCUGUAGCUGGUCUAAGAGGACGAUCAGACACACUAGGACGGAGAGACAGACCAGAAUCCAACGGGUGGCAGGAGUGGGGAAUUUUGGAUGAUGGGCGCAAGCCUGAGCCAGCAAUGCCGCGUGCAGGAUGAAGGCCAUCUGGUUGUAAGCAGCUUUUGGACGGAGCGAAAAGCCCUAGAUUAAUACCCUGGGGUCAUGACGGUACCGUAAGAAUAAGCACCGGCUAACUACGUGCCAGCCGCCGCCGUAA
rnacentral:rRNA from 1 species